AUUGAACGCUGGCGGCAGGCCUAACACAUGCAAGUCGAAUGGUAACAGGAAACAGCUUGCUGUUUCGCUGACGAGUGGCGGACGGGUGAGUAAUGUCUGGGAAACUGCCUGAUGGAGGGGGAUAACUACUGGAAACGGUAGCUAAUACCGCAUAACGUCGCAAGACCAAAGAGGGGGACCUUCGGGCCUCUUGCCAUCAGAUGUGCCCAGAUGGGAUUAGCUAGUAGGUGGGGUAACGGCUCACCUAGGCGACGAUCCCUAGCUGGUCUGAGAGGAUGACCAGCCACACUGGAACUGAGACACGGUCCAGACUCCUACGGGAGGCAGCAGUGGGGAAUAUUGCACAAUGGGCGCAAGCCUGAUGCAGCCAUUCCGCGUGUAUGAAGAAGGCCUUCGGGUUGUAAAGUACUUUCAGCGGGGAGGAAGGGAGUAAAGUUAAUACCUUUGCUCAUUGACGUUACCCGCAGAAGAAGCACCGGCUAACUCCGUG
rnacentral:rRNA from 1 species